UCUCAUUGCUCUUUGAUACGUCCCAAGUAUUAAAAAGCACGCCGACCUUGACAAAGAACUUGAUAUCAAGCUCAACCACCAACAAAGAAGUCAGGUUCUUUACCACAAUCCUAUCAAACUGAUCUUUUCCGAGACUCAUAUGCUCAAGACCAGGAGCAUCAAUCUCAAGUGUGCAUUCCACUCUGGAAUGGUAAUCCCUUGCCUGCCUAAGCGGCUGCACACUAAACCUCUUCAAGCUCUGAGACCUCACACGCAUAACCGUAAACUCUUCAUUCCCAAUUGCAUAAUCAUCAUCCAUAUCCCUCGACAAUGUCAGCUCCUCAAGAACAGGACACCCUGAGAGAAGCUUCUCCAGAUGCACACGCCAUUUAACCUCUUCAAGAUGCAUGAAUCUGAGACAUGGCAUGAAAACAACACCAGGAUCCAUGAGUCCAGAAGAUGCGAGCUUUAAGUAAACCAAUGUCUUGCUCGUGAGUAGAUUCAUAGGCAUCAUGUCAACAAUAGGAAUAGGAUAGAGAGAAUCGUCGUCCUCGAAAUAGAUACUGCUCUCAACAUCGAGAUGAUGUGUCCCACGGUUAAUCAGUGUACCGAUCCGGUCCUUGAACCCGUCUAUCAUCGUGUUCCUGCACUUAAUCUUCACUUUAAACAGACUUGACUCAGGGCUAAACUCGAGAAGCUUGUCAAUGAAGGUUAAGAACACUUCGUCAGCAUCAUAACGAAUUAAAGAGCAGUUCAAGUCAAGACCAGGAACACUUAGAUACAGAUUCUUCCAUCUUGUCGACAAAACACUUGUCUGCACCGAUUGAUUUGUCGGAAGGUAUGAGAGUAUUUGAGUUAACAGUGACUCCGGCAACUCGCUGAUCCUAUCUCGCCCAGACAUCACGAAAGAAGACCCUAACAGUAUAAUUAAAAAAAAAGAGAGAGAUCUUGAUCGAAUCCUAGGCGUUGAGUUUCUCUAAUCAAUCACAAAACUUAAGACUACAAAUGAAACGAAAGUGAUCUAAAGUUUCUGAAGAACUCACCGUCGAUUGGAUUUGCGUCACCGGCGGGAGUGAUCUACAGUGAGAGAAAAAAGUGGUAACCUUUUUGUCUGAAACUGUACCGAUAUCGUUUAGUACUUGUACGUUUGAAGCAGUUACGGUUCCAUCUUCAAAAGAGCGUUUCAAAAGUAAAGUGUAUUUAUUGUAUAUCUAUAAAUAUUUAUUUUAUUGGUUAUAUUUCCUGUUAAAUGCCAUUGGAAGAAUCAUGAAAAUCGAUUGUAAUGAAAAUUGCAUAUUCUCCACUAUCAAUUUUGUGUUUUUUUUUUUGUAUUUAGGAGAUUCGAUAUCUAAACAAUCUUUCCAAAAUUCAGUUUUUUUGUUGUUAAUUAGAAAUGAAAAAUAAAAAAUGAUAACAAAGGAUCAGUAUAUCAUUGUAUUUUGUUGCUUUGUAUACGAUUCUAUAACUCUAUUUUCACUUCGGUAUACCAAUAAAAUCUAUUCAGACGUUAAAAAAAAAAAGAUAACAAAGGAUCAGUGUACAGUUAUUGUUCUAUUGGAGUUUGACAACAAUUAGACUAACUAAUUAAUGAUUAAAUCAGUCAAUGAGUGAAAGUAUUGACUCAGUUUAGUUGGAAAGUUUUGUGUCCAUUGACCACAUUUAGUUAUUGUACAUCGUUUUUUGCUACCUUAAUGAUUGUAGACCAAAACGUUCAACCUAUAUAUUAAUAACUUUACCAAAAAUCACUACUUCAAAAUACAUUAUAAAAAGCUAGGAAGAAUAGAUUAGCUUCACAACUGAGAAACAUAAAAACUCUACCCAGAAAUGAAGAAAGUUUUCCUUAACAUUGUUCUAUUGUCUAUUCUUCUUGGUGCUGCCUUCCGUAAGUAUACUACUUAUCUUUCAUUUUAUAAUAUGAUACAUGCAGUCGUAUAUAUGCAUGAAUUAAUUUUCAUUAAAUCAAAUAAACCAGAACUUAAAAUUUUCAUUAAGUAAUUAUAUGUUAGUAAUAUUAUUUUUUAUUUUUCUAAAACCAUAAAAUAAAUUAUCUAUCUAACAAGAUCUAUUAUGCAUGAAUUAAAUUGUAUAGUAAAAUUAAUUUAAAUUGAUAUUAUUUAAUAUUAAUAAAUAAUAGUAUAUUAACUUUCAAUUAAUAGAAAAUCUCAAGUAAUAGAAAAUCAUAAAAUUUUUAAAUUGUAACUAUUGAUUUCUCCCUUAUAUGUAUACUUAUCAAAUACCAUAACAUUUUGUAUUCCUUUUCUUUUGAUUAUAUACAAUUUAUUGCAUUAUUAAUAUUUUCUAAAAUUAUUAAUAGUUUGAUCAUUUGAAUUUAUUAUUAUUUUAUUGAUUAUAUAAAGAAAUAUGUUUAACUCAUAAAUUAAUUACAUUUAGAUUAUAAUUUAAUACUAUUGAGAUAUUCUUUACUUUAAGAUAAAUUUCGUAAAAGAAUUAUAAUAUAACAAAUUACACUAAUAACAUUGAAUUACAAAACAAGAAUAAUAUUAAAAUAAUUUCAUUAUCUAAAAUACAUCAUAAAAGCUAACUAUGAAGAGUAAGUUAGCUUUACAAUUGAGAAACACAAAAACUUCUAUACCCAAAAAAUGAAGAAAGUGUUCCUUAACUUUAUGCUAUUGUCUUUUCUUCUUGAUGUUGCCUUCCGUAAGGAUACUACUUAUCGUUCAUUUCACAAUAUGAUACAUGCAUUCGUAUAUAUGUUUAUACACGAACAUAUAAUUAGAAUACACAUAAUUUAUUAUUAAUUUAUGCUAUCAAAAUCUAUGUUCUAGGGGCGUUUAAGGUUUAUGUCAUGUGGGAAUUAUAGUUUUCGUAUGUAAGAAAAGCUGGUAGACUUUUACUAAUUUAUUGUUCCACUUUCCUUUUCAAACGAAAUUUGACCCAAAACGUGAAAACUAGUGGUAUAAACUGAUCUUUAUAAAUAAUUUCGUUUGUUGACAAACCAUAUAUGGACUAAAACAUUAUUCAUAUGCAUGACAAGAUCUUGCAAAUGGAGCCGAGGUGAACCAUCAAGCGCAAUGUGACUCAGACCUUGAGUGUUACACCAUGCGUAGUUGUCUAACAGGUCCAGGAUAUUGCGACAAUGGAGUUUGCAAGUGUCCUAAAUUACAAGUUGUGGAUACAAAUGGAGCGGUUGUGAAUCAUCUAGGGCAAUGUGACACUGAUCUUGAGUGCUAUACCAUGCAUUGUGACAGAGGUGACGGUUAUUGCGAUCACAGCAACGUCGAUGGAGUUUGCAAGUGUCCUAAAACAUGCACCUCAAACCCUGAGUGCUCUGGCAUGGGUUGUGACACAGGUCGAGGAUAUUGCAACAACGGAGCUUGUAAGUGUCCUAAAUUACAAGCAGCGGAGACGAAGAAACACACAAAUGGAGUCGAUCUGAAUCAUCUAGGGCAAUGUGACACUGACCUUGAAUGCUAUACUAUGCCUAGUUGUAACAGAGGUAAUGGUUAUUGCGAUCAGAAAGACGGAAAGUGUAAGUGUCCUAAAUAGAGACACAAAUAAACAUGAGUAGAGCAUAUAUGAGUCUUAUGUUCCCGACUUAAAGCAAUUUGUAUCAAACUGCCCAAGUAAGAUAUAUGUAUCCCAAAAGAUUAUAAAUAUAUUAUUAAAAGACUAAUCAUGACUGUUUUACAAUCAAUUUCCUAUGAUGAAGCUGUUAACAGAAGCAUUCUUUUCAGCUGACAUGUUCCGAUAGCAGCAGCGAUACCUGAAUCGUGAAUUAACCACGUUCAGGAAUGACAGAACCAAACUUAAAAUUAAAGAGAAGUCUAUUACAACAUUCUCCCAAAUCUCAUGUUAGUAGAAUAGAUACAAAAAUAUAAGAGUAAAAGCAACACUCUCAUUGUAGAAAACACAUUUUUCUCUCGUCUUCUUCUUUCUUUCACUUUCAACUUCUAAUGUACUUCUGUUUUUUCUCUACAAUAGCAUGUUUAACUUGUAGUACUUAUACCAUUUUCAAGAAUUUAUGUUUUAUAGUUCAUACAAAGUAUUUUCUUAUCGAAAAAUGAUUCAGAUGAAAAGAAUUAAAAUCGAGCUGAAUAAACUAAAAAAAAAUGAUAUUUAAAAGUAUAAAACAUAUAAAACCAAACUUAAGAGAAUGCAAGAUCAUCAUUAUCAAAACAUCCAAGAAACUGAGAUUGGGACUUUUGGAAGAAAAGAAAAAAGAUUCGCAGUCAUACUGACAAUGGUCAAUGGAAUCCAACCAGAACUAAGAAGACCCAUCAAAUGACAACGACCUCCUCCAUGGCUCGAAUGACAAUUUCACAUCCUGUGGAACGUUUUGUGAGUUUAUUAACCAUCUCACAUAUUUCUGAUUCCGCAACAUUUCGAGGAUCAUAAGCUGUAGGGCUGAGAAUGAGUUUCUUCAGCAUUGCUGAGUUUCCAAGAAAGUAACUUGUUGCUUUCAUCUUCCCUUCCUCCAACUCAAGUUUCUCUUGUAUCUCAACACACUCAAGAGUCGAUGAGACACACCGUGGCACAUCUGCGAGUUCCAAUCCCUCAUCCAUCUCCUCUGGAUGAAGAACCUUCUGUAAACAACACACAAAAAAAAAGCUGGGUUUUCAAAAACACACAUCCAUAAAAAAAACAUAAGGACAACAGUAAUGUUUUUACCAAGAUUAGGUGUUUCAGAUUGGGGCAACACUCAAGAAAGGCUGGCAGAAACUGCAAUAACUUGCCAUGGAACACUGCUUGUAAACGGGACAAGUUGUUGAACUUGGGGAUGAUUCCUGCUUUUGAAUAAUGUUCAAAGGCAUGCACUGUCAUCCCAGAGAUGAUCAUAUCUCUCACACUCGAUAUCCCAUUGAGAAACUCGCGGAUCUCGUUGCUCUUUGAUACGUCCCAAGUAUUAAAAAGCACGCCAACCUUGACAAAGAACUUGAUAUCAAGCUCAACCACCAACAAAGAAGGCAGCUUCUUUACCACAAUGCUAUCAAACUGAUCAUCUCCGAGACUCAUAUGCUCAAGACCAGGAGCAUCAAUCUCAAGUGUGCAUUCCACUCUGGAAUGGUAAUCCCUUGCCUCCCUAAGCGGCAGCACACUAAACCUCUUCAAGC
rnacentral:lncRNA from 1 species